rnacentral:rRNA from 1 species
CCCUUAGAUGUCCUGGGCCGCACGCGCGCUACACUGAUGCAUUCAACGAGUUUUACCUUGGCCGAGAGGCCUGGGCAAUCUUUUAAACCUGCAUCGUGAUAGGGAUAGAUUAUUGCAAUUAUUAAUCUUGAACGAGGAAUUCCUAGUAAACGCAAAUCAUCAAUUUGCAUUGAUUACGUCCCUGCCCUUUGUACACACCGCCCGUCGCACCUACCGAUUGAAUGGUCCGGUGAAGCCUCGGGAUUGUGGCCAGUUCACUUUAUUGGGAGUUGGCUGUGAGAACUUGUCUAAACCUUAUCAUGUAGAGGAAGGUGAAGUCGUAACA